UCUGCAAUUUCUGCUCAUUGUUUGAAAUCAAAUAAUCUUCUCAAGGAAUUUUUUUACUCAUUUGCAAAUGCUUAUGAUUUUUGUAUUUCUUGUUAUUAUUUAACGACCCCUUCAAGCUACAAGUGUAAUUGUAAACAUGCUUUCUGACUUGGGGUCAAACCGUAAAUUUUGUUGAAAUUAAUUUAAAUUGUGCUAGCAUCAUUUAUCGCAGUCAGCCACAUUUACAUUCGUUAGAAUUAAAACUAGGCCUUUAUAACGACAUCCAUUUUUUGUGUUGAAAAUCAGUGAUCAAUAACACUCAAGGAAUGUUUCAAUUACCUGAAGGACCCAGCUCAGCUCAUCAGGAGAGGAAUGCCCGUAAAGAUACAGCUAAUGAUAUCGUACUGUUCGCUUUAAUGAUUGGUCUUAUUAAAGCAACUCCUUACCUUAUCAAAAAAUUCAGCGAGUAAAUGAUCCUAAAUGACAUCGAUUUAUUCAUGUUGUUUUGUCAAAUUUAGUCAAAUUUUUGUUAUAUACACGAAUUUUACAUGAUUUAAUCAUGUUCAUUCGCCAUUCGAAAAAUUGUGUUCUGAAUGCUUUGAUUUGUAAAUAAACUAUCAAGUGACUUAUA